GAACAAGCCGAAUCCAACCCAGGAGCGGGGGAACCAAUUUCUUGGGGCGAACGUCAGGCUCACGGCAAGCGUGAAAUUGACGCGGGUGGUCUUCUCUACCCGAGCCCGGCAGCUAACCUCGUAGGCGAAUAGAGAGAGGA
rnacentral:sRNA from 1 species